GGGAAGGUGGCUCAGUGGUAGAGUGCUUGCCUUGCAUGCAUGAGGCCCUGGGUUCCAUUCCUUAUACCA
rnacentral:tRNA from 1 species